rnacentral:rRNA from 1 species
CCUACGGGAGGCAGCAGUGGGGAAUAUUGCGCAAUGGGCGAAAGCCUGACGCAGCGACGCCGCGUGAGGGAUGAAGGCCUUCGGGUUGUAAACCUCUUUCAGCAGGGACGAAGCGAAAGUGACGGUACCUGCAGAAGAAGCACCGGCCAACUACGUGCCAGCAGCCGCGGUAAUACGUAGGGUGCAAGCGUUGUCCGGAAUUAUUGGGCGUAAAGAGCUCGUAGGCGGUUUGUCGCGUCGGCUGUGAAAACUCGGGGCUCAACCCCGAGCCUGCAGUCGAUACGGGCAAACUAGAGUGUGGUAGGGGAGACUGGAAUUCCUGGUGUAGCGGUGAAAUGCGCAGAUAUCAGGAGGAACACCGGCGGCGAAGGCGGGUCUCUGGGCCAUAACUGACGCUGAGGAGCGAAAGCGUGGGGAGCGAACAGGAUUAGAUACCCUGGUAGUCCACGCCGUAAACGUUGGGCGCUAGGUGUCGGGGACCUUCCACGUCUUCGGCGCGCAGCUAACGCAUUAAGCGCCCGCCUGGGGNGUACGCGCGAGACGUAACGUACGAAGGAGUGUCGGCGUGAGAGUGCGAAGACGACGACGAGGAGAGG